GACGAACGCUGGCGGCGUGCUUAACACAUGCAAGUCGAACGGAGUGGCGAACGGGUGAGUAACACGCGGGUGACCUGCCCUGCACUUCGGGAUAAUCCUGGGAAACAGGGUCUAAUACCGGAUAGUGGGGGAUGGGAGCGCGGCCUAUCAGCUUGUCGGUUGGGUAAUGGCCUACCAAGGCGGCGCCGGGUAGCCGGCCUGAGAGGGUGGACGGCGACAUUGGGACUGAGGCACGGACCAGACGCCUACGGGAGGCAGCAGGGGGGAGUAUUGCACAAUGGGCGGAAGCCUGAUACGGCGUCGCCGCGUGGGGGAUGACGGCCUUCGGGUUGUAAACUCCGUUCUCCAGCGACGCGGUAGAUGGAGAAGAAGCACCGGCUAACUACGUGCCAGCAGCCGCGGUAAUAC
rnacentral:rRNA from 1 species